ACUCCUUCCAGCUGAAUUUAUGCACUAAGAUAUAGAGGAGUGUAUUUUUGUGGGGGAUUGUUGAAGGCUUCAGCUGUGUGUGGUAGGGGAUCUUAGGAAGACUGAAGAGCAAGUAUUUCUUUUUUCUAUCUGAUCCCCACUGAAAUGUGGAUGACAAGGGGCAGCAACCAAUUUCUACCAACUUGAACCAGAACAUUAUACCAUAGGUACUUCUUUGUGAUGCUCUUCACAGAAUUAGUACUU